CCUCUUAAGGCUGAGACUGAUCUGGGAGGCUCAGUGGUGCCAAGACUUUUUCAACCCACUCUGUUCCAGUGGCCCGGACACCCAGCUGACUUUUGAUUCCCAGAAGCCACUCACUGAGAAAUGCUGUCCAGUCUGGACCCACCCAAGCCAGACCCUCCUCCUGAUGACAAAGGAAGAGCUGAGGCCCCCACACAGGGGUCCUCCCCUCAAAGGCACCUCACUACGCUGUGGCGUUGGGAAGCCAUGUUUGCCAGCCCUGUGGAAGAGCAGUAGCCCACAAAGCUUGGGCUGGACAGGUUGCUCGCCCUCACCAUCCAAGAGUCACGAGGCACCUUUUGUAAGUGGAGGGCUUGCUCCAGAUCCCCAGAGCUUCCAGCAAAAAGUGUUUCCAGAAGUAUCCAAUGACGCUAGUGGUCUAGUGGUUUCCUUUUGAAUGUCGCCCACCCUGGCCUGUGCUCAAAUUCUCAAACUUCAGAAUUAUUAUCUUAAAAUUCAGAUUCCUACAUCCUACCCACAGAGAUCUGUAUUCAAUAGGUCUCAUGUGCGUGCUUUACCAGCACCCCAGGAUUCCUAGAAGCAUUGUUUCCAGCCUCACCAGACCCGGGAAACAUUCACAGACAUUCCUUUCAUGGAGCAAGACACGAGAGUCCAGAGGUGCUACGUGCCGGCAAGUCACCCUCUUACCUGUGUAUCAGGCUCCCGCUUGAUCCAGUAAGACCAGGUCCAGGCCCUUGGGCGGGGUGCUUGGAAGAGAACUGGCCAGUGCAGUGAAUGGCCCCGUCUUCUGGAAACUCCGUGUUUAGGCAAUUCUUGCAUUCCAGUCCCCUGCUCCACACCGCACUCCUCUGGAUGGAGGGACACACACACACACACACACACACACACACACACUCCCCGCUCAUGGAAAGGGAAAGGCUCUGUGAAGUCGACGACGCAAGCCCCACAGGCUCUGUGACCCUGAGACUCUCAGAAAUCACCACGGGGCCAGCAGGUCGCAACUCGAGGGGCUGCCGCUCACACUUGUCACCGGCAUCACUGCUUCCCUAGAGUCCCCAGAGGUCAAGAGAAAACUCCACAGGGACAGAAGUUGUGGCUUUGACCUCAGAAAUCACAAGAGCUCUGUAUGUGGGGAUGGAAGGACCAAGGGGCAUUGGGAGAGGCCCCCUACAGGGAGCCCUCUGGAUUGGUGCGUCCCAGGUACUACACCCCUGUUCUCACAGGGUCGCCUGUGACAUCGUGACCCCGCUUGGGGCCUCAGUUCACCGAUCUGUAAAAUGUUGGACUGGAUGAGUAAUCACCAAUUAUUAUCACCAUUAUCCUGAUUACUGUUGGGCUCAAGAUCCCAUUCUUCAAAUGAAACCCCUUGUAGAGCCUCAAUAAGGAAGAGGGUAUCUGAUUGAAAAUGGAGCUUAGGGGCCCAUGUCCCUUGUCUCCCCCUUGUUCUGAGGACCCCUACGGCUCUUGAGAAUUGUUUAAAAACUGCUAAGCUAGCUGAGCUCCCGGUCCAUGCAGCUGAACUCUGGCAACUGCCCUCAUGGAAACCCUCCAGGACUCCAAAUGACCCAACUCCAGCCACUGUGACCUCAGAAUGACAGGAAGCACACAUAAUCGGACUCUGGGAACCCGGUGAAGUAACUCUGUUCACCUUGUGAACAGAAUGCGAUUAUUCUAUCGCUCAGACUGUGCCAUCUCUGGGGCUGUUUGAGUUCUGAAUCCUGCUCUCCCACUCCCCAAUCUGCCUUCCCGGUGAGUUCAGAAUCACCUAGAAUCCCAAGUGUAAGUGGCAAAUCUAGGAUAGUCAACUCCAUACCUAACUUUAGAUGAAUACGGAUCCUUCUCUAAGACUCUGGCGCAUGGGAAAUGUCAUCAUCCCUGUCACUCGAGUGUGUAUUAAAAUGAGGGCCCAUUACUAUUACCCCAUUAUGCAGCUGAGGAAAACAGACUCGGGGUCACCAAGAAGUGGAGCUGGGAUUUUGGGGCGGGGGAAAGUCAGCCAGUGCUCACGGACAGGCGGUGGGUGCUAAGAUCGCUUGUCUGAGCCCAUCUCAUCUCUGAGGAUGACAACAAUACUGUCCUUGGUUGCUGGAGUGAUUAACUGAGAUAGUCCAAGUAGAAGCCCUCAGCAUAGCCCAGACAUGUGUGCGGGAACUCAGUAAAGGUUGGCUCCAAAUACUAGAGUUAUAAACCCUGCUUCCUAAUACCACCAGACGCCAGAUAGUCUUUCAUAGAAAAUAGGAUUUAUUUUCACAUUUCAAGUGAACACAAAUAAAUGUCCCACAAGUGUACUAUAUACAAAAUCAGUAGAUAUAUUAAACACAGAAAAAUCAAAGCCCUCCAGAAAAGACAUGUUUGCUUUCUUCCAGAGCACGUUUGGGCCAUUUCCAUUCUUCACCAAUUCACGGACUAGGCACAGUACGCAGUGGGUUUGUUCCCAGGUUCGUCUGCUUCUACCCCCACGGACCCUUCCUCAAAAACCCCAGCAGCAAACCAAGAGGAUUCACAGUGGCCGGGGGUAAAUGCCGUGGCCGAGGACCGUGCACAAAAGCCCCAACUACGUUCCAAAGGCCAGGCUCUGGGGUUCUGUGGCUUCGGCCACCAAGUGGGGUCCUGCCAUGGCACGGAGUAGUUAAGUGUCACAGCUUCAUUUCUUGGCAAUCUUGCUAGUCAAAUUAUUCCAAUUAGAAGAGGUCACUACCCAGAUAUAAUGGCCCUUUUGCGGCGGCUGGCUUUCCCCGCUCGGCCGAGGAAAAGGCAGAAACCUGUCCCCAAAGCUGAGCCAUCACCACCCCCCCGAAGUCCAAGGCACGGGUGAACUUGGGCUGGGGGAUCACAGAGAAGGCCUGAUGAGGAGUGGUGACAUCAUGUCCGUGAUACUCGUCCAGAAAUGGGGCGGUGAGGGGGGGCGGACACUGGGGAAGCAGCGUGGCGGGCCCGGUGGAGAGCGGACGCUCCGCAGAGGCCUUCCUCCAGCACACAGUGACAGCGGCAUGAACACAGGCAACCGGACGGGGCACUGUUGCUGGCGUCCGACGUGGCCACCUCGGUGUGUCACCACGUGGGCGGCCACUACCAGCCCAGCACCCUGUGGCCGAGGCCGGUUAGCUCAACUGGCCACAGUCUGUGAUGACGAUCUUCCUGGACGUCUUCCCACUCCUGGAACCGAAAGAUUCGAUUUUCUUCACGACAUCCAUGCCUUCUUUGACAUGGCCGAACACGACAUGCUUGCCAUCCAACCUGUGAGUUGAGCCAGGGAAGAAUAUGAGUAGUGCAAUGCCACCCAAUGUCAUUGUCACCUGGUCAUGGAACUAUUUAUCGGAGACAGCGAUUCUGGAAGGGACUCACUCUGAAAGUCUGGACCCACCCCUUACGGCUCCGGUAUCAAGGCUUGCGGAGCUCCCCCAAAUACACCAGAGGGUCCCUCCCUUCCGGGGCACGUGCUGCCUGCCCUGCCGUGUGACCUUGCCCCCGGGCCACUUCACCUGGAUCCUGGUAACCUCAGCUAUGGAAAGUGAAUUAUUCUUGUUCCGCACAGGGGGUGAACAGGGUAUCCAACUACUCUCAAGAAAUAAGAGGUCCGUGUAAAUAGGACCAUCUUAAUGGUCAUGAGUGGCAAGGGAAGAGCCAAGACAGCAAGCGCGGCUCUCCAUUUGAGAGAGUUCCAAGAAUCCAAAAGGCAGCUUAGUCCAGUGGCAGCAAGGUCAACACUGGUUACAUCCAAGGGCAGCGCUGCAGGCCCUGCCGGGGGUUCCGCGGAAGGAGCGCAGAACAGGCGGAGCCAGCCAAUGGCCUGCCCACGCCCUGACAUGUCUGUCCCCUCCGGCUUGGGGGCCAGAGACAGCUGGUGUCCACCUACCACUCAGGUCUCCUAAAGUCCUAGGAAAUGGGCUUUAUUAAAGAAUUGGCUCUUGGCCAGCUAUUGUCCCCUCAAGCCCAUAUGCCUCAGGGCUAGGACACAGGCGACUGUGGGCAGAGGAACUUAUUAGGUGGUGGGAUCCACAGGCACGUGGGCAAGAGAGCUCCAAGGUGCGUUCCAAGCUCGAGGUAAGCCGGGAAACACCAGUUUAAACCAAGCAAAUAGGCUGCCUCCACAGGCCAUCUUGAGGCCUGGCAGGUUCUGCAGCAUGUCCCAAACGUAUGUGGUGAAAGUCCUUUUGCACAACACAUGGAGAAAAUUCCAGCUGACAGCAAAUGGAAGCCUAACAUAGACACAAUUGUAAGAACAACCCACAUUCUCCCUCAGUCCUUUUACAAACUUGGUCCUUCUCCCACAUGGCCACACAGCCCAGCUGAGGGCUCCUGCCCCAGAGCGCAGGGCAGCCUCACACCACCUUCCCCAAGAAGCACACAGACCCUCCUCUGGCUGCCAGGCCACCCCUCAUGCCCAGCGGGCCUGCAGCCCGCGGCAGGGGACUCACCAGUCUGUCUUUAUGGUGCAGAUGAAGAACUGGGAGCCGUUGGUGUUGGGGCCUGCGUUUGCCAUGGACAGGACACCUGCAAAAACAGGCAGGAGGAAGCCAUGCUGACCCAGGAGGCACCUCACUGGGAAGCUACAGACAAGAGCGGCCGCUCCCCCCACAACAAGGCCACUGGGGUCUGACGGUCUUGGAGCUUGAAGAGGAUGAGCAGCUCCCCGGGGCCUGCCCACCCGUGCUGCCCCAGGGACAAGAGGGCCUUGUGGAAGCUCUCCAUGGCAGGGCCAGAACGGGACUUUGGCACUCUGCAUCUUGGGUCUUAAACGUGACACAACGCUGGGUUUUGCUGAAAGGCUUUCUCUCCCAGCGUCUCAAAGGGAGGCUUGUUUUUUAAACGGAGAGCUCAGCAUGACAAAACUCCAGGAAAACUAACACUCCAACCCGGAGUGCUGAAGGAGGGAAGGAGCAUCACCGGAUAUGGGGCAAUCGGUCCCAGCCUCCCAGGCAUGGUGGGUAUGGUGGGCCUGGCAGUGUCCGGGCCGAGCUCAGGGCAUUCAGACCGGGGAACGGCGGCCCCCACUCACCUGGUCCCACGUGCUUCAGUGUGAAGUUCUCAUCAGGAAAGCGGCUUCCAUAGAUGGACUUGCCCCCGGUGCCAUUGUGGUUGGUGAAGUCGCCGGCCUGUGAGCACAGAGCACCUUCUGAGCGGCCACCCCCCAGAACUGGCAGGGGGAGGCUGCCGUGGCGCGGGGAGGUGGCCCCCAACCCACCUGGGGCCCACCCAGCCAGAAGCCCCGCAGGCCAAGGGGUCAGAAAACAUCCAAGGUUGUCCGGACUCAUGAAAUAACAAGGAAAAUAAGCAAAAAUAAAGCUUCAAUAUUUUCUGCCAUUA